rnacentral:tRNA from 1 species
CAAAAUAUAGCUUAAUCAAAAGCAUUCAGCUUACACCUGAAAGACGUACAUUAAAACAAGUUUAUUUUGA